CCCGCCACAAACUUGGGGUGGGCACUGAAGCUCACAAAGGUGAGUAAGACAGAUUGCCCCUGCUGGCCUGGAGGCUGCCAUCUGGAGGGAGAGCUGGCUGUAACACACUAAUUCUCACCAAGAGCCAGAUAAGGGUGGCAGAGAUUGGCACAUGUUCCUGGCAGCCGAGCUUGUGAAUACCCAAGGCCACACAGCGGCAAAGUCGGGGGACCAGCUCCCUGGGCUGAUGCCCAGCUGCUCAUCUGGGAAGUUCUGCUGGGUUCUCACUUGUCAUCAGCAUACCCAGACUUUUCACCUUCAGGACUCUCAGAACAAGCUUCUCUUGGGAUCACUGAAGAUGCCUGAUAAUGAAUGCAAAAUGAUGACUCAUGUCAUAUUUAAGCAAGACUCUGGGUGUGUGUGUGAAUGGAAAUCACUCACGAUCAGGCUUCCCGCCUGCAGAAGGGGAAGAGGCUUCCGGCCCUGGUGGUACCCCGGCCCCAGGCAGGAACUCAGCCCAUGCGUGCCCACUUCCAGUGAUUCUGCAAAAAAUAAAGGAUCCUCGCAGACAUCCGCCUCCGUGGUUCUGACAGCUGAAGCUCUCUUCACAGGCACAUUAACAUGACCUCAUUAGUUUGUGCAUCUACUCUCCUAACCACAUAAAACGGAGUGCGGUAGGAGCCAAUCAUGCUAAUUACAUCAGAUCGGUUUGCAUAUUCAUAAACCAUUUUCUGUUUUAUGGACAGCAAAAAUAAACACAGUAUCUCUUUAAUAAUUUUAAGUGGG